GUAUGCCAAAAUAUGUCAAAAUAAAAGUCAUAGUAUAGUAUGCCAAAAUAUGUCAAAAUAAAAGUCAUAGUAUAGUAUGCCAAAAUAUGUCAAAAAUAAAGGUCAUAGUAUGCCAAAAUAUAUAUAUACUAUGACUUUAACUUUGACAUAUUUUGCCAUACUAUACUAAUAUAUAAAAUGCCCGUCUCAGUUCCUGUUACGUGUCAGUGGUGCGUGUUCUCCCCUCCCUCUUUGUUUUCCCUUCAGGUGCCAUCACUUGCCACCUGUACAGGCCAAUCCGACCGCACCUGGGUUCCAGAGGGCAAGCCGGCCAAUCGGCUGAGUGCUUUCAAAGUUCAGGGGUGGCUUUGGCUUGUGUAAUGUUUACAUUGAUACUGCUAGGUGUGCAGGUUUGCGGUGAGAGGUUGAGGACAGUCGGUGAGUUUAGGGUACCCUGUACAUGUGUGUCUAGAAACAUUACUCUUGGUUGCUGCUCCCUCUGGAUUGUUUUGACCAUAACUUUGCUAGAGAAGCAAGUCGAGCCAUUUUGUUUGUUGGAGGUAUUCCGCCAGGCACAACCACAACUGUCCCAAUCUCUCCCACUUCAUGGGACCUUAUCCCCUGGACCAAGAAGUGGACGUAACAGUUCCUGAAAAGUAAUUUGCAUGAAAACACUCACAAUGACGCGGUUAUCAAAUAUAGUUGGCAAGAAAAUGAAAUAUUGAGCUGCUUUGAGUGAGUGGGGCUUGAGUAAUUAUUAUUUGUAUUAUUGAUUACUUUGUAUGUGCGCAUAGACUGUUUUACUCAAACAUUCUGAUUCAAAAUGGGGUAAUGCUUUUUUCUAAUGACUAUACGCACAAUACUCCACGUGGUUAUUUCAUGUAGACUUUACGUUGCGUGACCCACGUACUCGCUCGUCUCUCGUGCUUUUGGAAAAGCCAAGAAUUGUUUUUAAAGUUGUUCAUUGAGACCAAAUUCUGCCCACAACUUGUUGAAUAUUGGGAUUUCCUGCUUGGCUUUACCUCUCGUAAAUGUAAUCUCUUGUGUUUCAGACUGUUACAAAGACGCUUCUUUAAGCUCUGGGAGAAGUGAGAUGGGCGUCUAACUUUGUUAAGUUGCAGCCGGUUAAGCAUAAACUAUAAGGCCGGGUUUGUUGCUUCUACCUAUACCUUUUCAGUCUUUCUCUUUUGUAUAAAAUACAAACAAAAUGUUAAUGCACAUUAUACACACAUAGUUUAACACAACAAGCUUACAAUUAAUGUGUUUUAAAUGUUUAUUUGUUGUGACUCCACUCGCAGUGUAUCAAAUAAACAUUAAGGUUAUAUAGUUAACCUUGAAUUGGUAUACAUUGUUAAAUUCUUGCCCUGAAAAAGUUGAUAAUCUGGAAGAUCCAUUCCAGGGGUUUGUGGUGGUGGGCUCCUGCUGCUCCUGCUGCUCCUGCUGCUCCUGCUGCUCCUGCUGCUCCUGCUGCUCCUGCUGCUCCUGCUGCUCCUGCUGCUCCUGCUGCUCCUGCUGCCUCACCAACGAUUGAGCUCUUUUUAUACCCCUGGUGACUAAUUGGACCGAACCAAUACCAUAUAUAGAGUUGGUAUUUCCCAGACCUAUAAAGCGGUGGUCACGAACCUUGGGAACUAUUUUGGCAGAUAUCCAUGGAGAGAGAAGACCUGUUCCAGAGAUCCAUGGGAGGAAGACACCUGAACCAGAUAAGUAGUUGCAAUACACACACACACACCACACCACACACACUGUAUGUCUGCAGCCACAUGGGGAAAAAACUUGCAUUUUCUAAUUCUUGGCAUUCCCGUUGGAGUACCCAUGGGCUCAGACAUACACUCUCCAUCCAUACACAAGUUCCUUUACCCCACCACUCACACACCAUCUAUAUUCUAUGUCCCUGCAUCACAGACGGUGUGCAGCUGUUGGUCUGGAACUCGCCGAUGGAUGUCGAGCUGACUCAACGUGGCGGUGAGACUGCUGGACAAAGGUAGCGCUUUUUACAUUUGUUUCUGCAGGAUGAAUGAUGACAUAAUGUGCAAUACGUUUCUUGUUCCAUAUUAUGCCUAAUAUUCUCACUAACGUUAUGGUGCAUGUUUGUGUGUUCUCUCCCCAGGUUUUCUACACAGGAAAAACGAGAGUAAUAUUAAGAACACGCUCACGAAUGUUUGUAAAAUGUAGUUUCUGCCGCCAUUUUGGUCACCCGAGUUACUUAAUCAGAGCAAAUGCUAAUAAAAAUAACCUUUUCAUGUCAUGCAGGCUGUUGGAGUGAAAUACAGAGAUAGACAAAAUACCUGUUUUGAGGGCCAAGUUACCUACGUCGUUUUUGGAAUGUGCUUCCAAGUUCAGCGAGGUCUGAUUUCCUUCUGAAAAAACAACCUAGGUGUGCGCAAGAUCCAAAUGAUAGGGACCAGCAUUCACUGUCAAAUAUGCGCUUCCAAGAAGUUCAGCAUCCCAACCUUGGACGACACAAAGACGAGGUCUUUGAUUUCCUUAUGAAACAACAAAACCUAGGUCAUCCAGUUUGAUCCUGCUGCCACAUUCUUGUCAUUUUCUCAAACUUUGUCCUGUCAGAUGGGGACCAGCAUCCUGAUGGAAUCGCAGACAGCCAUACCUGCUUGCAGUGUGAUUCACUGUCAAAAAUGCAUAUUUUUGAAAUGUUUCAUUUAAUAAAAUCAGUUACUUUUGAACUACAAA